rnacentral:rRNA from 1 species
ACUCAAAUGAAUUGACGGGGACCCGCACAAGCGGUGGAGCAUGUGGUUUAAUUCGACGAUACGCGAAGAACCUUACCUGGGUUUGACAUGAUAUGGAAUCCGGCCGAGAAGCUGGAGUGCCUUCGGGAGCCAUAUAACAGGUGCUGCACGGCUGUCGUCAGCUCGUGUCGUGAGAUGUUGGGUUAAGUCCCGCAACGAGCGCAACCCCUGUCUCUAUUUGCCAACAGCUAGGCUGGGAACUAUAGAGAGAUUGCCCCGGUAAACGGGGAUGAAAGAGGGGAUGACGUCAAGUCCUCAUGGCCCUUACGCCCAGGGCUACACACGUGCUACAAUGGCCGGUACAAAGGGUCGCUAAACCGCGAGGUGGAGCCAAUCCCAGAAAACCGGUCCCAGUUCGGAUUGUAGUCUGCAACUCGACUGCAUGAAGCCGGAAUCGCUAGUAAUCGCGGAUCAGCUACGCCGCGGUGAAUACGUUCCCGGGUCUUGCACACACCGCCCGU